AUUCGGGCUCAUGUUGAAGUGUCAGCUUGAAUCUUCCUUUGGCUCUUCUGUGAAGUCCCCAGCCCCAGCCCAGGCCACAGUUCUACUGUUCUCACUCUUUUGGAUGCCAAGAGCUUUCUUCUCUGUCAAGCACAUGCAACGGCAGACAUCCCUAAUGAACUCCCAAGAAUACAGUCCUUCUCAGAAGAGCAAUCGGAUAGCCUGCCAGGACUAAGCUACCCAGGUUUGGUUCAGGGCUGAAGCUGUUUGCCAGUCAUGGAGAGUAAAUGCUCACAAAUCAUCUGGGAGGUACGGACAAGAGAAGCAAGGUCCGGGGAAGCUGACUUGCCUAAGACUUGGGAGGUGCUGACGUUGUGGCUGGUCCAGGGACCACACCUUGAGAACCUUUCCUGCUGGCAUCUAUCCAGAGUGACUGGGGAAAGAGAAUAAGGCUCGAAGCCUCGAGAAAAGAACUGGUCCCGGUCCCUCAGGAUGGUUGUCUGGCCCACUGGGUCUCCUGGAGAGUAUCAUCCAUGAUCCUGGUGCCCCCAGGACCUUGUCCAGAAAGGUGAACUGGUGUUAUUGAGGACGGACCCCUGGCACCCGGCUUGGUUUUCCUGAGUGAGGCCUUCUGUUGUCACAGGUAUAGCUCUGGUUGUGGGUUGGAGUGUCAAGGGAGAAAGAAGAAGGGAGGCAGCCGGCUAUGCUUGGUGGCCUGGAGGCCUGGAGGGAGUUGAUGGAAAACAUCUGAGCCAAUGGCUCCGUGCACUCAGAAAAUAAAUCCUGGCUUCCGAAGAAGCUGCAGAAAAUUGAUUUUUCGCAGCUUCAGUGGUCAUCCUGAAGGAUUUGGUGGGGCGGAAACUGGGCCCAUUUCUCAUCCCUGUGCUCUGUGCUGUUGGGUCAGGUGCUGAACCGGCUUCUGUUAGAGGCAGAGAGGCCUGGGCCAGCCCCCAGCUCCUGUCAUGUACCUCCCACUGCCUUGUGCAAAUGGGGAGGGGUGGAGGGCCCAUCUCCCUCAGCUUGCCCUCACACCCAGCUGCUUCUCGCCCAUGGCUUGCCUCUUGCGCCUGCUACCAUGGACGUGAAAGGUGCAUGUGUUCAUGCAGCUGAGCUAGGAUUAAGGCAGUUGUACACGGGUGCAGCUGUGGGUCUUUGGUGUCUGGGGCACUGUGGGGCAGUGGCGGGUGGAUGCCUUGGGGAGCUCAGCCUGUCUGUGUCUGUUUAGUCCCUCGCUGAGCACUGCCGUUGGCUGCUAAGAUCUCAAUUGGCCAUGAGCGCCACGCGGGCUGCCCCAGGGACGGGCCUUGUCUGGGGAGAAGGAUUAGCUUUUGGUACAUUUUCCCUUCAUGUGUGGAGCAUGCACUUAGCCCAGGCCCAAGGGAGCUGAAGGUUCCCACAGCCAGGGAGGGAGCCGCAGCUACAGACUGAUGGUUCCCGGAGCUCCUGUUGGCUUUGGAUGAUUUUAUGGAAAACUUGGCUAGGGUGUUGUGAGACAUAGCUAUGACCUCUUGGCCCAGCAGCCAGCACAAGGAAUGGCUUAGCCUUCCUGAGACGUGUGGUGUGGGCUACGACAUCCCUCCCCCGGCCAAGAGUCCAGGGGACCGAGGACUUGGCUCUGCCCCAACUCUACCCCAAGCCCUGAGACACCCUGGACACACACCCUGCCUGUCUCUGGCCCCCAGCCUGCUCCUUGGCUAUCAGGAGGGAAUAAUCCAUUCCUUGCUGGGGUGGUGAGAAUAUCCACUGAGAUGGGACUGGAUCUAAAGUGCUCACCCUAGGGGCGCCUGGGUGGCUCAGUCGGUUGAGCAUCCAAUGUCAGCUAAGGUCAUGAUCUUACAGCUUCUGAGUUCAAGCCCCACCUCGGGCUCCGUGCCGACAGCUCAGAGUCUGGAGCCUGCUUCUGAUUCUGUGUCUCCCUCCCUCUCUCUCUGCCCCUUCCCCACUCAUGCUCUGUCUCUCUCUCCCUUAAAAAUAAAUAAA